AUUGAACGCUGGCGGCAGGCCUAACACAUGCAAGUCGAACGAGUGGCGGACGGGUGAGCAAUGUCUGGGAAACUGCCUGAUGGAGGGGGAUAACUACUGGAAACGGUAGCUACUUCCGCAUUCCAUCGGCUGUGCCCAGAUGGGAUGAGCUAGUAGGUGGGGUAACGGCUCACCUGGGCGACGAUCCCUAGCUGGUCUGAUAGGAUGACCAGCCACACUGGAACUGAGACACGGUCCAGACUCCUACGGUAGGCAGCAGUGGGGAAUAUUGCACAAUGGGCGCAAGCCUGAUGCAGCCAUGCCGCGUGUAUGAAGAAGGCCUUCGGGUUGUAAAGUACUUUCAGCGGGGAGGCGUUACUCGCAGAAGAAGCACCGGCUAACUCCGUGCCAGCAGCCGCGGUAAUUC
rnacentral:rRNA from 1 species